ensembl:piRNA 21ur-2352 ncRNA
UGAUUCAUGUUGACUUGUCAA